GACGAACGCUGGCGGCGUGCCUAAUACAUGCAAGUUGAGCGCUGAAGGUUGGUUCUUGUACCAACUGGAUGAGCAGCGAACGGGUGAGUAACGCGUGGGGAAUCUGCCUUUGAGCGGGGGACAACAUUUGGAAACGAAUGCUAAUACCGCAUAAAAACUUUAAACACAAGUUUUAAGUUUGAAAGAUGUAAUUGCAUCACUGAAAGAUGAUCCCGCGUUGUAUUAGCUAGUUGGUGAGGUAAAGGCGCACCAAGGCGGUGAUACAUAGCCGGCCUGAGAGGGUGAGCGGCCACAUUGGGACUGAGACCCGGCCCAAACUCCUACGGGAAGCAGCAGUAGGGAAUCUUCGGCAAUGGACGAAAGUCAGACCGAGCAACGCCGCGUGAGUGAAGAAGGUUUUCGGAUCGUAAAACUCUGUUGGUAGAGAAGAACGUUGGUGAGAGUGGAAAGCUCAUCAAGUGACGGUAACUACCCAGAAAGCGACGGCUAACUACGUG
rnacentral:rRNA from 1 species